AACGAACGCUGGCGGCAGGCCUAACACAUGCAAGUCGAGCGAAGCCUUCGGGCUUAGCGGCGGACGGGUGCGUAACGCGUGGGAACGUGCCCUUUGGUACGGAAUAGCCCCGGGAAACUGGGAGUAAUACCGUAUGUGGUCGAGAGACGAAAGAUUUAUCGCCAAAGGAUCGGCCCGCGUUGGAUUAGGUAGUUGGUGGGGUAAUGGCCUACCAAGCCGACGAUCCAUAGCUGGUUUGAGAGGAUGAUCAGCCACACUGGGACUGAGACACGGCCCAGACUCCUACGGGAGGCAGCAGUGGGGAAUCUUAGACAAUGGGGGAAACCCUGAUCUAGCCAUGCCGCGUGAUCGAUGAAGGCCUUAGGGUUGUAAAGAUCUUUCAGUGGGGAAGAUAGUGACUGUACCCACAGAAGAAGCCCCGGCUAACUCCGUGCCAGCCGCCGCGGUAACAC
rnacentral:rRNA from 1 species